UACAGAGGUUUCAAGCGUUGUUCGGAUUCAUUGGGCGUAAAGCGUGCGUAGGUGGCGCCAUAAGUCGGGUGUGAAAUUUCGGAGCUUAACUCCGAAACUGCAUUCGAUACUGUGGUGCUUGAGGACUGGAGAGGAGACUGGAAUUCGCGGUGUAGCAGUGAAAUGCGUAGAGAUCGUGAGGAAGACCAGUGGCGAAGGCGGGUCUCUGGACAGUUCCUGACACUGAGGCACGAAAGCCAGGGGAGCAAACGGG
rnacentral:rRNA from 1 species